GAAGACUGCAAGCUUGGUCCUGUCGUCAGUGCUGGACAAUAUGAGAAGGUAUUGAAGUUCAUCUCAAAUGCCAAAAGUGAAGGUGCAACCAUUCUGUGUGGUGGCGAACGGCCUCAGCACUUGAAGAAAGGAUAUUAUGUUCAGCCAACAAUUAUUACUGAUGUUAAUACCUCAAUGGAAAUCUGGAAAGAGGAAGUAUUCG
rnacentral:misc_RNA from 1 species